CCGUGCUAAGCGGGGAGCCCGUGGUGCCCUGUACCCCCAAUCCACGUACGGGGGGCUGAAUUCCCGCCCGAGGCCCGGGACGUCGCACGGCAGCGGCUCGUUGGUGACGUUGAGGGUCGGGUCCUGCGCAAUGGGAUCUCGCGAACCGAGUCAGGUCCGGAAGGAAGCAGCUCUCAGCGAGCCCUCCCUUGUGCCGCAGGAGUGCCUGACCUGAGCCACCGCGAGCAAGCGCGCCGUGCGGCGACGGGGUCGACGGCGGGUGCACGG
rnacentral:SRP_RNA from 1 species